AAAUUACUCCCCCCGUCCCAAAAUUCUUGUCUUAGAUUUGUCUAGAUAUGAAUGUAUCAAGUCACAUUUUAGUAUUAGAUACAUCCGUAUCUAGACAAAUCUAAGACAAGAAAUUUGGGAUAGAGGGAGUAGUUG
rnacentral:pre_miRNA from 1 species